ensembl:miRNA
GUGGCUGACGGGAGGCGGAGCAGCGAACGAGGGCGUCGGCCAUUUUGUGCCUGUUUCCUGUGGGA